ensembl:snRNA U6 U6 spliceosomal RNA
UUGCUCAGGCAGCACCUACAAUAAUCUGGAAUCAAUACAGAGAAAAUUAGCAUGGACCUUGACAUGAAAUUUAAAUUCAUGACGUGGUUUUGCAUUUG